rnacentral:lncRNA from 1 species
AACUCCCAAGUUCUGCACCUUAAACAGAGUCACACUUUCUCUCAAACCGCCUGGCUUUGGCUACGUUUUGACCUUUCACUUUCAGCAGGAAAACUCCAGGAAAAUAAGAAAUAUUUUAUGUCAUUGCUGUAUUCCAACUACUGCAAUUGUUUUCACCUUGUUUUACUGUUAUAUUGACCUUCACCCAAAUAUUUGCAUAGCACAAAUAUAGUAAGUAAAUUAAUUUCAAAAAGUGAGAAAUCUGAUUUCAUUCCAACCUGAGGGAAUUCAAAACCAUCCUUAUAUUUUCUGAAAAGUCUUCUAACAGACAUGCUGUUAAGAAUAUUUGAGCUUUGGUGCUAAUAGAAAAUGAAGGCAUAUAGAAAUUUUAAGAAAAUUGAGUCAUUGAAGCUGGGGCUCUACAACCAGUGAUGCAGAACCCAGGGAUCCAGAAGCACAGCAUCCCAGCAGCUGCCCUGCAGAGAAAAUAAAUAUGUGGACCCCUACCUGAACA